rnacentral:pre_miRNA from 1 species
UUUCUACUCCCACCGUCCGAAAAUACUUGUCAUCAAAAUGGAUAAAAAUAGAUGUAUCUAAAACUAAAAUACGUCUAGAUACAUUUCCUUUUAUCCAUUUUGAUGACAAGUAUUUCCGGACGGAGGGAGUAUUUG